CGUUUUGUUGUUUGCAUUAGCAGAAGGACCACAGCCAUCGCCCGUCUCCCAUCUCCAAGAUGGCGGAGGCAGCUUCAACCUCACCUCUCGCGAGGGGUGCGUCCCACUGUCUCUGAUUAGCCCCGAGGUCAGAGGUAUCACAAGUUUCUGUGAGAGCCAACGUGACAGAUUUUUAGCAAUGAAAAAAGACACGCUCGCCAAAUCAUCUCAAUUGCCAACGCAGAAGCGUUUUAUAUAUAUACACAACAAGAAAACCACCAUCUACAAACCAUGAAGCCAAGUCUCCCUGGACACCAGAUCUGACAACACCUUGAUCUUAAGACCUCCCAGCCUCUCGAACUGUGAGAAAUAAAUGUUUAUUGUUUA